rnacentral:lncRNA from 10 species
CCAGCACAAAGCAGUCCUCAGGCAGUUUGUGGAAGGAGUGCACGUCCUAUCUGCUGGGGUGCCCCUUUGUCCCCUUCUCUGUCUGAGUAGAUCAGGGCCCUGUGCAGCCCUCACCUCCACUGAGAAGUCUUCCUUCCUGGGCAGUCCCUGCCUGGGGCAGAGCUGAGCCCUGGUGCUUUGUGGAGCUCCUCCCAGGGCACUCCCAGACACUCCCUGGGAAUUGCAUGGCAGGGAGUCACCUCUGUUCCCCGGGCAAGGGGCAUGCCCAGGCUCAGGCUGCUUACCCAGCUCACCUGGGCGCAGAGGAAGUCUUCUCUUCUGCACCAAAGGAAAGGGUGCUAAUCACACCAUCGACUGAGCCUUCAAAGGCACAGGGGCAAAUCAAGAUCCUGGCACCCAGACACCAAACACCUGAGGGAGGAGAGGAGGCACAGGUGAGGCUGACCAGGACAGAGGGCAGAAUGUGAGCUCCACCUCCAAGAGGAAGGGAGUAGGAGGAGGCAUGAGACAGGGGAGGCUCCUGGGAGGAGGAACACAUGGCGCAGGCCUGUGCAAACAUGCCAUGGGGCAUGGCGGGAUUCUGUGCUUCCAUGCAUGUGCCUAACUCAGAUGUGGAAAACCCCAUGUGCAAGGAACAGACAGCUACUUGGGCUGCUCCAGGAAAGAAGUGGCCAAAUCACAGCCUCUACUGAGACACCGGCAACCCCUCCCUGGUGAUCUGAGCCUAGCACUGCGAGCCUCCCCCUCUGGCUUCCUGAGGCACAGGCACCAGCUGGGAAGAGCUCCCUUUUCAAAGGUCUGACCUCAACGCGGUGGAGCCCUGCCCUAUCUGCCUGUGGAUUUUAACAACAUGCUCUCUUUGCUUUGCCCCUGACCCUGUGAGGAAGCUGCUUCCUGUAUGUUCUCUCCGUGGGACGUGUAUGUCUCCUUUUUGUGUUUUUUAGGCUUCCAAUACCUGCUUGACUAGUUUCCUAUACUAAAUUCUCUGUCAAAAUAACUGAGGUGAC